CGGCGGCGUCUAUACAUGCAAGUCGAGCGAAUCGACGGGAGCUUGCUCCCUGAGAUUAGCGGCGGACGGGUGAGUAACACGUGGGCAACCUGCCUAUAAGACUGGGAUAACUUCGGGAAACCGGAGCUAAUACCGGAUACGUUCUUUUCUCGCAUGAGAGAAGAUGGAAAGACGGUUUACGCUGUCACUUAUAGAUGGGCCCGCGGCGCAUUAGCUAGUUGGUGAGGUAAUGGCUCACCAAGGCGACGAUGCGUAGCCGACCUGAGAGGGUGAUCGGCCACACUGGGACUGAGACACGGCCCAGACUCCUACGGGAGGCAGCAGUAGGGAAUCUUCCGCAAUGGACGAAAGUCUGACGGAGCAACGCCGCGUGAACGAAGAAGGCCUUCGGGUCGUAAAGUUCUGUUGUUAGGGAAGAACAAGUACCAGAGUAACUGCUGGUACCUUGACGGUACCUAACCAGAAAGCCACGGCUAACUACGUGCCAGCAGCCGCGGUAAUACGUAGGUGGCAAGCGUUGUCCGGAAUUAUUGGGCGUAAAGCGCGCGCAGGUGGUUCCUUAAGUCUGAUGUGAAAGCCCACGGCUCAACCGUGGAGGGU
rnacentral:rRNA from 2 species